UAUAAUUCUUGAAGAAAAUCGUGCUUGAGUUUUAGAUAUGAGGGGUUCAUAUUUUCGAGAACAAAAAUAGAAAAGGAAAUGAAUGGGAGAAAAGAAGCAAAUACUCUUUUCAAUAAAGCCUUCACAUAAAACAUAUAUUCCGUAUAAAUUCUAAAUUCUAACAAAAGAUCCGCUGUAGCACAUUGUCGAAAGCAAUCAUUCUAGUUUAAUACUGGAUCAGAAUUCCGGGUUCGAAGCCCGGCAGCGGAAAAAUCUUUUUGGUGCUUUUUAUAUUGUAUCUUGUAUGACAAUUGAAGAUACUUUUUCAUAUUGUUCUUUCUUCUCUACUCAUUGUUAUGGUUUUUAUACUAUAUAAUAUGAUUCUUGAAAAAAAUCGUGCUUGAGUUUUAGAUAUGAGGGAGUCAUAUUUUCGAGAACAAAAACAGAAAAGGAAAUGAAAGGGAGAAAAUAAGCAAAUACUCUCUUCAAUAAAACGUUCACAUAGAACAUUUAUACCGUAGAAAUUCUAAGUUCUAACAAAAGGUCCGCUGUACCACAUUGUCUAAAGCAACCAUUCUAGUUUAAUACUAGAUCAAAAUUCCGGGUUCGAAGCCCAGCAGUGGAAAUAUCUUUUUGGUGCUUUUAAUACUGUAUCUUGUAUGACAAUUGAAGAUACUUUCUCAUAUUGUUCUUUCUUCUCUGCUCAUUGUUAUGGCUUUUAUACUAU
rnacentral:sRNA from 1 species